rnacentral:rRNA from 1 species
UACGUAGGGUGCAAGCGUUGCCCGGAUUUAUUGGGCGUAAAGAGCUCGUAGGCGGUCUGUCGCGUCGGCUGUGAAAUCCCGAGGCUCAACCUCGGGUCUGCAGUCGAUACGGGCAAACUAGAGUAUUGCAGGGGAGACUGGAAUUCCUGGUGUAGCGGUGAAAUGCGCAGAUAUCAGGAGGAACACCGGUGGCGAAGGCGGGUCUCUGGGCAAUAACUGACGCUGAGGAGCGAAAGCGUGGGGAGCGAACAGG